UUGGAGGGCAGUCUGGUGCAGCAGCCGCGGUAAUUCCAGCUCCAUAGCGUAUAUUAAGUUGUUGCAGUUAAAAAGCUCGUAGUUGAAUUUCGGGAUUCAUCCGUUGGUCGGGCUUCACGGUCCGUACUGGUGUGAUGGGUUCCUACCUUCUGAAUAACCGGCAUGCCAUUAAUUUGGUGCGCCGGGGAAGCAGAACUAUUACCUUGAAAAAAUUAGAGUGCUUAAAGCAGGCAAGUGCCUGAAUAGGUUAGCAUGGAAUAAUAAAAUAGGACGGCAUGGUUCUAUUUUGUUGGUUUCUAGGAUCACCGUAAUGAUUAAUAGGGAUAGUUGGGGGCAUUAGUAUUCAAUUGUCAGAGGUGAAAUUCUUGGAUUUAUUGAAGACUAACUUCUGCGAAAGCAUUUGCCAAGGAUGUUUUCAUUAAUCAAGAACGAAAGUUAGGGGAUCGAAGACGAUCAGAUACCGUCGUAGUCUUAACCAUAAACUAUGCCGACUAGGGAUCGGACGAUGUUAAUUUUUUAAUGACUCGUUCGGCGCCUUACGGGAAAC
rnacentral:rRNA from 1 species